rnacentral:lncRNA from 1 species
GGAACACCAGGAAGGAGGGAACUGUACCUUCAGCCUGAGAUCUCUCAUCAGGGUGCAGAGGCUGAUGGGGAGCCACCAGCUUAGCCUCUCAGUUGCCAAACGAAGUAGGAACAAGAGAACUUUCAGCCAAGUGUCUCUCCACUAUUCCUCUUCAGCAAAGUUACCAGAGUCCUACACCAAACUGGACCCUCUACUUAAUGAUCGUCACUGGACCAACAAUUAAAAACUCAGGACCCAACAACCCAGAGGGAGAACACCCAUGGGUGUGAGAGAUCCCAAGCCACCUCCAUCGACUCCUCCUGGUAAGCGGACCCUUUAUAAGCCCUGCUCUGGGAGGAAGGAAGGGAUUCCAACGGUGCCAGGCUCAAGCAAGGGAGCAAGCGGUUCCCCUGAAAGCACAUUUGAUGUCUCUCCUACCUCAGAAGCAUCAUCCUUACCACGUAUUCACUGCAGUUUUCUUCCACCGCAAAUGAGAAUCCCUGUUCUGGAAGAGGA